rnacentral:rRNA from 1 species
UACGAAGGGGGCUAGCGUUGCUCGGAAUCACUGGCGUAAAGCGCACGUAGGCGGAUUGUUAAGUCAGGGGUGAAAUCCUGGAGCUCAACUCCAGAACUGCCUUUGAUACUGGCGAUCUUGAGUCCGGGAGAGGUGAGUGGAACUGCGAGUGUAGAGGUGAAAUUCGUAGAUAUUCGCAAGAACACCAGUGGCGAAGGCGGCUCACUGGCCCGGU